rnacentral:tRNA from 1 species
GCUGUGGCCUACUGGUUAGGGCUUCUGGCUUGAAACCAAAGGGUUUCCGGUUUAAUCCCCGACCAGCA